UUUGAAUUUAAUUUUUAUUCUUUCUCUUGUCAGAGGAAAAUAAAUUUAUAGAGAUCCACUGAAAUCCAGUGUAAAUUUCUUAAAAGAUGAACAACAGAAGGUUCAGUCAAUGUGAUUCAAAGCAUAGUUUGUCAAAAAGGUUAAAGGUUAAGGUGUAGAAUUGUGAGAGCUUGGAGGAGAGGUGGCAGUAAUUUAAAAAUAAUGCUGUAAAUAUCUUCAGACAAAGAGUGUGUGCAUAUAUAAUUUUGAAAUACUAGUAGACAACUAAGUAAAACAGGAUCGUACUAUAAUGUUCAUAAAAAUAUAGACUAUCCUCCAUAUUGUAAGUCCCACCUUAAAUAUUAUCCAUAGGUUCCAGCUUUCAGGUACUAUUUUUAUUUUACUAUAACCAUAGAAUAUUCCUCUAUAAGGACUACUUCGUACACAUUUGGGAAAUGAGCUGGUCUUGAAAUAAAACACUAUCUUUAUAUAUUUUGGUAAGGCAGCCACAACCUGGCGGACUAUAUUCAACAUCUGAAGGUGACCGGGCAUCCACAAUUAAGGGCUUUUGACUCCCCUGGCAGGCACAUUCACGUGCUCCCCCGGAUUGCAACACCGAUGAUAUUUCACUGAACACGCUCGUUCUUAGAUUAGAAAAUUCCUGGAGUCGUCGCAUAUCCAGCAUAAGGAGGUGAAACUAUCCAGAGGAGAAAACAAACUUACAAAAUGGUCUGCUCUGUCGCCCAGGCUGGAGUGCAGUGGAUAUCUUCCGCCUCCCCAGUUCAAGCAAUUCUUGUGCCUCAGCCUCCUCAGUAGCUGAGAUCACAGGCGUGUGCCAUCACGCCCAGCUAAUCUUUGUAUUUUCGGUAGAGACGAGGUUUUGCCAUGUUGACCAGUCUGGUCUGAAGCUCCUGGGCUCAAGUGAUCUGCCCGCCUCGGCCUCCCAAAGUGCUGGGAUUACAGGCGUGAGCCACUGUGGCUGGCUUAAAAAUACUUUUUGUAAAAGAAAUCAUCUUUCAUUUUCUGUCCUGGAGUCAAAUGUUAAGCAAAUCUUCGAAAAUAUAUAUUUUUUAAAUUGUGUAAAACUAGAGUGUAUAUUGCAUGAAAUUUAUGUCUUAAUUAUUUUAAAAUGUACAGUUCGGUAGCAUUAAAGUCUAUUCACAUUAUUGUGCAACCAAUCUCCAGAACAUUUCAUCUUAUAAAGCUGAAACUCUACAUCCAUUAAACCAUAGCACCUUAUUUUCUCCCCUCCCACACACCCCCCCAACUCCCAGCCCCUGGCAACUGCCAUUCUACUUUCUGUCUCCAUGGAGUCAACUACUCUAGAUAGAUCAUGUAAAUAAAAUCAUAUAGUAUCUGUCCUUUUGUCACUGGCUUAUUCCAUUUAGCAUAAUGUCCUCAAGGUUCAUUCAUGUUGUAGUAUGUGUCAGAAUUUCUUUUCUUGUUAAGGCAGAAUAAUAUUCCAUUGUAUGUGUAUUCCACAUACAGUGUUGUUUAUCCAUUUACCAUUGAUGGACACUUGGCUGUUUCCACCUCUUGGCUAUAGUGAAUAAUGCUGUAAUGAACAAUGGCGUUCCAGUAACUCCUUGGGAUCUUGCUUUCAAUUCCUUUGGAUAUAUAUUUGAAAGCAGAGUUGCUGCAUCAAAUGGUAAUUGAAUUUUGGAGGAAACGCCAUACUGUUAUUCAAAGUGCUGCACCAUAUUCCAUUCCUACCAAUAAUGUACAAGGAUUCUAAUUUCUCCAGAUCCUCACCAACACUUGUUAUUUUCUGUUUUUUGUUUUUAAAUAAAAGCUCUCCUAAUGGGUGUGAGGUGAUAUCUCAUUGUGGUUUUGACUUGCAUUUCCCUAAUGAUGAGUGAUGCUGAGCAUCUUUUCAUAUGCUUCUUUACCAUUUGUGUAUCUUCUUUGGCGAAAUGUCUAUUCAAGUCUUUAGCCUAUAUUUUAUUGUUAUUUAGUGCAGGAGUUCUAUCUGUUUUCUGGAUAUUCAAUUUUUAUCAGAGAUAUGUUUUGCAAGUGUUUUCUCUUACACCACAUGUGAUGGACUAAAUUGUGUCCCCACUGAAUUGAUGUGUUGAAGUCCUAACUUCCCCUACCUCAAAAUGUGUGUUUGAAGGUAAAGCCUUUCAAGAAGUAAUUAAGGUGAAAUGAAAUCAUAUUGAUAGAUCCUAAACCAAUUUGACUGGUGUCCAUUUAGAAGAGAAAGUUAGGGCACAGAUAUGUAUGCACACCAACGCAAGAUUAUUUGAGUACACAGCAAGAAGAUGGCCAUGUGUCAAAGCCUCAAAAGAUACCUAAUCUGCUGACACCUUGAUCUUGGACUUCCAGCCUCCAGAAUUGUGAGAAAACAAAUUUCUGUUAUUUAAGCCACCAGUCUGUGUUUUUUUGGUUAUGGCAGCCCCAGCAAACUAAUACACUGUAGGUUGUCUUUUGUCUUUUCACUCUGUUGAUUAUAUACUUUGAUAUGCAGACUACAAAAAUAAUUUUGUAAUAAGUAUGUAACAUGAACUUCUAUUGUAGCACAUUAUUUGCAAAUUUUACCACAUUCAUUAUUUCUUUUGAUUAAGAAUUAGGUCUCCCCAACCAGGCAUACUUUGUUUGGUUCCCAGUUUUGCCCUAUAUCAUCUGUGUGAACCUGGGCAAGUUUCUUAUCCAAAGCCUACAAUUCCCUAUGUAAAAAGGAGAACAAUAAUAAUAAUCAUUUCUUCACAUAACUAUUGUGGGUAUUAAAAUCAUGUGUGUGAGAUUGGCAUGAAUUUCAUCCCAUUUAUUCAGUAAUGCAA
rnacentral:lncRNA from 10 species